rnacentral:tRNA from 1 species
GCCUGCGUGAUGGAAUGGUAGACAUAACGGACUUAAAAUCCGUGGGGUUUUAAAACCCUUGCCGGUUCAAGUCCGGCCGCAGGUACCA